rnacentral:rRNA from 1 species
UACGAGGGGGGCAAGCGUUGUUCGGAAUUAUUGGGCGUAAAGGGCGCGUAGGCGGUGCGGUAAGUCUGUAGUGAAAUCUCUGGGCUCAACUCAGAGUCUGCUAUAGAAACUGCCGUGCUCGAGUGUGGGAGAGGUGAGUGGAAUUCCCGGUGUAGCGGUGAAAUGCGUAGAUAUCUGGAGGAACACCGGUGGCGAAGGCGGCAUCCUGGACUACUACUGACGCUGAGGAGCGAAAGCCAGGGGAGCAAACGGG